rnacentral:rRNA from 1 species
UCAGACUCGCGGCACCGAGCUCAGUAACACGUGGCCAAACUACCCUACAGAGACGGAUACCCUCGGGAAACUGAGGUUAACCCGUCAUACCGAUCUCAGGCUUGAAUCGCAGAGAUCACAAAAUGCCCCGGCGCUGUAGGAUGUGGCUGCGGUUGAUUAGGUAGACGGUGGGGUAACGGCCCACCGUGCCCAUAAUCAGUACAGGUUGUGAGAGCAAGAACCUGGAGACGGAAUCUGAGACAAGAUUCCGGGCCCUACGGGGCGCAGCAGGCGCGAAACCUUUACACUGCACGCACGUGCGAUAAGGGGACUCCGAGUGCGAGGGCAUAUCGUCCUCGCUUUCGUGUACCGUAGGGUGGUACACCAACAAGGGCUGGGCAAGACCGGUGCCAGCCGCCGCGGUAAUACCGGCAGCCCGAGUGAUGGCCGAUCUUAUUGGGCCUAAAGCGUCCGUAGCUGGCUGCGCAAGUCCGUCGGGAAAUCCACUCGCCCAACGAGUGGGCGUCCGACGGAAACUGCACAGCUUGGGACCGGAAGGCUCGAAGGGUACGUUCGGGGUAGGAGUGAAAUCCCAUAAUCCCGCACGGACCACCGAUGGCGAAAGCACUUCGAGAAAACGGAUCCGACAGUGAGGGACGAAAGCCAGGGUCUCCAACCGGAUUAGAUACCCGGGUAGUCCUGGCCGUAAACAAUGUUCGCUAGGUAUGACACAGACUACGCGUCUCUGUUGUGCCGUAGGGAAGCCG